rnacentral:lncRNA from 1 species
GCAAAAAUCACCUGCCGGCUACGCCACAACCAGUUGGGGAAUACUUCGGAAUCACCUGCCGGGCUUGCUGGAACCACCUGCCGGUCAUGCCAAAAUCACCUGCCAACUACGCCAGUACCACUUGGCGGACACUGUGGAAACACCUGUCGGGCCGGCCGGAACCACAUCUCAGACGUGCCAGAACCAUGUGCAUGAGAUGCUGGAACCACACCCCGAGCAGACGGAAAACACCUGCCAGACCCGUCUGAACAACCUGCCGAGCACGCCGAGACACCUGCUCGACUCGCCGGAACCACCUACCUGACAUGCCCAAAUCACCAGCCGGGUAUGCCAGAACCACUUGGCGGACACUCCGGAAUCAUCUGCCGGACAUGCCGGAACCAGCUCUCAGACACACCAGAACCACGUGCCGGAGACGCCAGAAGCACCUGCCGAGCAUGCCGGAGCCACCUGCUCGACUCGCCAUAAACACCUGCUGGACACGCCAAAAUCACCUGCCGGGUACGCCAGAACCACCUGGCGGACACUCCGAAACCACCUGUCGCGCAUGCCGGAACCACCUCUCAGACGUGCCGGAAGCACGUGCCGGACAUGCCGGAAUCACCUACCGGACAGACCGGAACCACCUGCCGAGCACGCCGGAGCCACCUGUUCGACUCGCUGGAACCACCUGCCGGACAGGCCAAUAUCAACUGCUGGCUAUGCCAGAACCACCUGGGGGACGGUCCGGAAUCGCCUGCCAGCCAUGGCGGAACCACCUCUCAGACGUACCAGAACCACCUGCCGGAGAAGCUGGAAACACGUCCUGGACAGUCUGGAACCACCUGCCGGCCAAGCCUGAACCACCUGCCAAGCACAACGGAACAACCUGCCAGACACGCCAAAAUCACCUGCGUGUUAUGCCAGAACCACUUGGAGGACUCUCUGGGAUGACCUGCCGGGCAUGCCGGAACCACCUCUCAGACGUGCCAGAACCAUGUGGCGGACAGUCCGGAAUCACCUGUUGGGCAUGCGCAACCACCUCUGAGACGUACCAGAACCACAUGCCGUGCAGGCUGGAACCACCUACCGGACAGACCGGAAUCACCUUUCGGGCAUGCCGGAACCACCUGUCAGAUGUGCCAGAAACACGUGCCGGAGGACGCCGGAAGCACCUGCCAAGCACGUUGGAACCACCUGCUCAACUCGCCUGAACCACCUGCCGGACAUGCCAAAAUCACCUGCCGAC